rnacentral:rRNA from 1 species
ACUCCUACGGGAGGCAGCAGUAAGGAAUAUUGCGCAAUGGGCGAAAGCCUGACGCAGCGACGCCGCGUGGGGGAUGAAGGUCUUCGGAUUGUAAACCCCUUUCGGCAGGGAAGAUGGAACGGGCAACCGUUCGGGCGGUACCUGCAGAAGCAGCCACGGCUAACUUCGUGCCAGCAGCCGCGGUAAUACGAAGGUGGCAAGCGUUGUUCGGAUUCACUGGGCGUACAGGGAGCGUAGGCGGUUAGGUAAGCCCUCCGUGAAAUCUCCGGGCCUAACCCGGAAAGUGCGGAGGGGACUGCUCGGCUAGAGGAUGGGAGAGGAGCGCGGAAUUCCCG